rnacentral:rRNA from 1 species
AGCCCAUUAGCUAGCCCGCCCACUUAAAAACAACACACCACUAUGAAUAAACCCUAACACACAUAAUUGACUUUAUUAAACCAUUUUCCCCCUCUAGUACAGGAGAUAGAAAAAGGAAUCAGGAGCAAUAGAAAAAGUACCGCAAGGGAACGCUGAAAGAGAGAUGAAAAGCCCAGUAAAGCCCAAAAAAGCAGAGAUUUCCCCUCGUACCUUUUGCAUCAUGAUUUAGCCAGCAUACUCAAGCAAAGAGAACUUUAGUUUGACCCCCCGAAACUGCGUGAGCUACUCCAAGACAGCCUAUUAAUUAGGGCAAACCCGUCUCUGUGGCAAAAGAGUGGGGAGAGCUUUGAGUAGAGGUGAUAAACCUAUCGAACACAGUUAUAGCUGGUUGCCUGGGAACUGGAUUUAAGUUCAGCCUGUCGGCUUCUCCAUUCAUCCUUAUACCUUCAUUUAUAUAGAUGCUCUAAGAAACCGACACAGUUAGUCAAAGGGGGUACAGCCCCUUUGAAACAGGACACAACCUUUUAAGGAGGAUAAAGAUCACAUUCAAUAAGGAAAGAUGUUUUAGUGGGCCUAAGAGCAGCCAUCCUGAUAAAAAGCGUUAAAGCUUAGACAUACACACCCUCCCUUGAUCCCGAUAAAAACAUCUUAAUCCCCUAUAUUGUACCAGGCCAUCCUAUGCCCCCAUAGGAGUGACUAUGCUAAUAUGAGUAAUAAGAGAGUACCCCUCUCUCCCUGCACACGUGUAAAUCGGAACGGACCUCCCACCGAGCCUUAACGGCCCCAACCAAAGAGGGAAAUGAAACACAACCCUAACUAACAAGAAAACCCCCCAAUAAACCUACCGUUAACCCAACACAGGUGUGCUCCCAAGGAAAGACUAAGAGAAGGAGAAGGAACUCGGCAAACAAAUUUAAAGCCUCGCCUGUUUACCAAAAACAUCGCCUCUUGCAAAACUAACGUAUAAGAGGUCCCGCCUGCCCAGUGACAUCUAGUUCAACGGCCGCGGUAUUUUGACCGUGCUAAGGUAAGCGUAAUCACUUGUCUUUUAAAUGGAGACCUGUAUGAAUGGCAUAACGAGGGCUUGACUGUCUCCUCCUUCCGGUCAAUGAAAUUGAUCUCCCCGUGCAGAAGCGGGGAUCCCAAACAUAAGACGAGAAGACCCUAUGGAGCUUUAGGUACCAAGGCAGUCCAUGUUAAACACCCCUGAAUAAAGGCCUAAACUUAGUGGACUCUGCCCUAGUAUCUUCGGUUGGGGCGACCCUGGGGAAAUACAAAACCCCCAUGUGGAAUGGGAGCACUACCCCACUUAUCCCCUGCUCCUACAAACUUGAAACACAAUUCUAAUUAACAGAACUUCUGACCAAACAUGAUCCGGCAAUGCCGAUUAACGGACCAAGUUACCCUAGGGAUAACAGCGCAAUCCUCUUUUAGAGCCCAUAUCGACAAGGGGGUUUACGACCUCGAUGUUGGAUCAGGACAUCCUAAUGGUGCAGCCGCUAUUAAGGGUUCGUUUGUUCAACGAUUAAAGUCCUACGUGAUCUGAGUUCAGACCGGAGUAAUCCAGGUCAGUUUCUAUCUAUGAGAUGAUCUUUUCUAGUACGAAAGGACCGAGAAGAAGGGGUCAAUGCUUCAAGUACACCUCCCCCUGACUUAAUGAAAACAUCUAAACUAAGUAAAAGGGCAUACUCUCCCGUGCCGGAAAUAACGGCGC